rnacentral:rRNA from 1 species
AGAGUUUGAUCCUGGCUCAGGACGAACGCUGGCGGCGUGCCUAAUACAUGCAAGUCGAACGAAGCUUUCUUUCACCGAAUGCUUGCAUUCACCGAAAGAAGCUUAGUGGCGAACGGGUGAGUAACACGUAGGCAACCUGCCCAAAAGAGGGGGACAACACUUGGAAACAGGUGCUAAUACCGCAUAACCAUGAACACCGCAUGAUGUUCGUGUAAAAGACGGCUUUUGCUGUCACUUUUGGAUGGGCCUGCGGCGUAUUAACUUGUUGGUGGGGUAACGGCCUACCAAGGUGAUGAUACGUAGCCGAACUGAGAGGUUGAUCGGCCACAUUGGGACUGAGACACGGCCCAAACUCCUACGGGAGGCAGCAGUAGGGAAUCUUCCACAAUGGACGAAAGUCUGAUGGAGCAACGCCGCGUGAAUGAAGAAGGCCUUCGGGUCGUAAAAUUCUGUUGUCAGAGAAGAAUGUGCGUGAGAGUAACUGUUCACGUAUUGACGGUAUCUGACCAGAAAGCCACGGCUAACUACGUGCCAGCAGCCGCGGUAAUACGUAGGUGGCAAGCGUUGUCCGGAUUUAUUGGGCGUAAAGGGAACGCAGGCGGUCUUUUAAGUCUGAUGUGAAAGCCUUCGGCUUAACCGAAGUAGUGCAUUGGAAACUGGAAGACUUGAGUGCAGAAGAGGAGAGUGGAACUCCAUGUGUAGCGGUGAAAUGCGUAGAUAUAUGGAAGAACACCAGUGGCGAAAGCGGCUCUCUGGUCUGUAACUGACGCUGAGGUUCGAAAGCGUGGGUAGCAAACAGGAUUAGGUACCCUGGUAGUCCACGCCGUAAACGAUGAGUGCUAAGUGUUGGAGGGUUUCGCCCUUCAGUGCUGCAGCUAACGCAUUAAGCACUCCGCCUGGGGAGUACGGUCGCAAGACUGAAACUCAAAGGAAUUGACGGGGGCCCGCACAAGCGGUGGAGCAUGUGGUUUAAUUCGAAGCAACGCGAAGAACCUUACCAGGUCUUGACAUCUUCUGACAAUUCCAGAGAUGGAACGUUCCCUUCGGGGACAGAAUGACAGGUGGUGCAUGGUUGUCGUCAGCUCGUGUCGUGAGAUGUUGGGUUAAGUCCCGCAACGAGCGCAACCCUUAUUGUCAGUUGCCAUCAUUAAGUUGGGCACUCUGGCGAGACUGCCGGUGACAAACCGGAGGAAGGUGGGGAUGACGUCAAAUCAUCAUGCCCCUUAUGACCUGGGCUACACACGUGCUACAAUGGACGGUACAACGAGUCGCUAACUCGCGAGGGCAAGCUAAUCUCUUAAAGCCGUUCUCAGUUCGGAUUGCAGGCUGCAACUCGCCUGCAUGAAGUCGGAAUCGCUAGUAAUCGCGAAUCAGCAUGUCGCGGUGAAUACGUUCCCGGGCCUUGUACACACCGCCCGUCACACCAUGAGAGUUUGUAACACCCAAAGUCGGUGGGGUAACCUUUUGGAGCCAGCCGCCUAAGGUGGGACAGAUGAUUGGGGUGAAGUCGUAACAAGGUA